rnacentral:rRNA from 1 species
GACGAACGCUGGCGGCGUGCCUAAUACAUGCAAGUAGAACGCUGAAGAGAGGAGCUUGCUCUUCUUGGAUGAGUUGCGAACGGGUGAGUAACGCGUAGGUAACCUGCCUUGUAGCGGGGGACAACUAUUGGAAACGAUAGCUAAUACCGCAUAACAAUGGAUUACACAUGUCAUUUAUUUGAAAGGGGCAAUUGUUCCACUACAAGAUGGACCUGCGUUGUAUUAGCGAGUAGGUGAGGUAAUGGCUCACCUAGGCGACGAUACAUAGCCGACCUGGGAGGGUGAUCGGCCACACUGGGACUGAGCCACGGCCCAGACUCCUACGGGAGGCAGCAGUAGGGAAUCUUCGGCAAUGGGGGCAACCCUGACCGAGCAACGCCGCGUGAGUGAAGAAGGUUUUCGGAUCGUAAAGCUCUGUUGUAAGUCAAGAACGGGUGUGAGAGUGGAAAGUUCACACUGUGACGGUAGCUUAACAGAAAGGGACGGCUAACUACGUG